rnacentral:rRNA from 1 species
GCUUACGGCCAUACCACCCUGAGAACACCCGAUCUUGUCUGAUCUCCGAAGCUAAGCAGGGUCGGGCCUGGUUAGUACUUGGAUGGAAGACAGCCUGGGAAUACCAGGUGCUGUAAGCU